CACCGUUUUGGUCCUAAACCUAAUAUUACUUCCAACUGAUCCUAUACAUGCAAGCCUCCACAAUCCAGUGCAUAUAGCCCACCUAACACGGAGCAGAUAUCAGGCACACAACACGUAGCCCACAACAUCUAGCCAUGCCACACCCCCACGGAACACAGCAGUAACAAACAUUAAGCCAUGAGCCCCAAUAUUUCAAGCUCGACUCAGAUACAGACCCCCUAGAACCGGUAAACUCCGUGCCAGCCACCGCGGUUACACGAAGGGUCCAAAAUAAUACUACACGGCGUAAAACGUGACUAGAAGCAAGUUUUAAGUACGGAACCUCAACUAAGACCCAGCUGUAAAACGCACCUAUCCAAAAGAACAUCCCACACUCCCACCAAAAAUCACCUUUGACCACACGAAACCUAAGAAACAAACUAGGAUUAGAUACCCUACUAUGCUUAGACAUAAACCCAGGCAGAACACCUACUACACUGCCCGCCAGAGAAUUACACGCCCCCCAGCGUAAAACUCAAAGGACUUGACGGUGUCCCAUAUCGACCUAGAGGAGCCUGUCCUAUAAUCGAUGAUCCACGAUACACCUCACCCCCCAUUGCACCCUCUCAACCUAUAUACCGCCGUCGCCAGCCUACCUUCUGAAAGCCAAACAACAGUAAGCACAAUAGCUCAUCACUAACACGUCAGGUCAAGGUGUAGUUAAUUGCGGGGCAGAGAUGGGCUACAUUUCCUAAUUUAGGAGACCAUAAGCAACAUGAAACAUCGGCCAAAAGACGGAUUUAGCAGUAAACUGGGCAAGAUCGCCCAAUUGAAGGCCGCCCUGGGACGCGUACACACCGCCCGUCACCCUCCUCAACCAAACCAACCAAAUCUACCUAAACCCCCAUUAUUAGACCCAGAUGAGGCAAGUCGUAACAUGGUAAGUGUACUGGAAAGUGCACUUGGCACAAC